rnacentral:tRNA from 1 species
GCAUUGGUGGUUCAGUGAUAGAAUUCUCGCUUUCUGUGCGGAAGACCUGGGUUCAAUUCCCAUGCAGUGCA